rnacentral:rRNA from 1 species
UACGGGGGGAGCAAGCGUUGUUCGGAUUUACGGGGCGUAAAGGGCGCGUAGGCGGCCAGCACAAGUCAGUUGUGAAAUCUCCGAGCUUAACUCGGAAAGGUCAACUGAUACUGUGCGACUAGAGUGCGGAAGGGGCAACUGGAAUUCCUGGUGUAGCGGUGGAAUGCGCAGAUAUCAGGAGGAACACCAAUAGCGAAGGCAGCUCGCUGGGACGGUACUGACGCUAAGGCGCGAAAGCGUGGGGAGCGAACAGG